UCGGCCGUCGCGGCGCCCCUGGCCGUGCCCCGCGGGCUGAGCAAGGCUUCUCUCGGGUCAGCGACGUUCCGGCCUCUGCAGGCGAGGCCUGGGGCCGCGAGGAGGAUGUCGGCGGUCGUGAGGGCGUCGUCGUCGUCGGGGGCGACGGCGCAGGAGAAGCUGACGGCGGGGCUGGCGGCGGCGGCGGUGGCGGCGGCGCUGGUGCUUCCCGAGGUGGCGGAGGCGGCGAGCCCGGGGCUGUCGCCGUCGCUCAAGAACUUCCUGCUCAGCAUCGUCUCUGGCGGGGUCGUCUUCGCGGGCAUCCUUGGCGCCGUCGUCGCCGUCUCCAACUUCGACCCCGUCAAGCGGACCUGAUCGUGCUAAAUUCCGGUCCGACGCCCCGGGGCUCGCUCGAUUUGUAAUCUCUCUUUGCUCUGCGUUCUCAUUCCGAGACGUCGACCGUGUAUGUAGAAGAGAUAUAUCCAUUGUUAUGGUAUAUUAAUGGAGUUCUGGUUAAUGGUUGUGUGUACUCUGCUCCUCUGCUGUUUAAUUUGAUUGAAAAAACAAACAAACUUGAGAAGCUGCCUGCGUUCCGGGAUUCAUCGAGAUCGAGCGAGUGACUCAACUGACUCUUGACCAAAUCUGCUUCUUUGCCGAGCUCUGGUUUUAUCUCUUCAAUUAAUAUACCAUAACAUUUGUCAUCCGCUAUGUUAACAAUUGUUUUCUGACCGUUGCUUCAGCGCACGGAUCCGCCACUCAAGAUAAGCCCGCUUCCGCCGAAUUCGCUUCCUCCUUGGCCGCCGCAGCACCGCUAGCCUUGGAGCAGCCGUCCUCCCCCUUGAUUUUUCCGACGCGCCCCUUGGGACGACCGGCCGCCUUCCUUUUGUUGUCCUUCGCCUUGCUCUUCGUGGUGCACGACCUCAGCGAGAACCUUUUCUGGCCGGACAUCGUAAGAUUCCUGAUCUGCUCGCGUUCAAAAGGGGAUGAGUCGACUUGCGUUCGCAGGCGGUCGGGGCGUCGAUCAGGGCGUCGAUCGGGACGUUGAUCGGGGUGGUGCUCCUUGCGGGGGGAGAGUUGAUCGUGGCACGUUGUGUUCCCGAUUUUGGGGAGCUGAGGAGGAGUUCUCGAGCGAUGAGGAUGCGGUGGCGGAACCUUCUCCCCGGCCGCAGGUUGGGGAUUUCAUGGCGGCGGCUAUGGCCAAACUCCCUGCACGUCGGCAGAAGUUUGCGCCGGGAGGGAGACCAUCAGGAGGCGGAUUCGCGCAUCGCGAGGAAUGGUGGAAAUCGCACCAUCAAAAUGGAGAUGGAUCGUUUCGUUUGAUCCCUCAGUUGGAUUCGAGAGUUGAUUCUCGUCAUAUCUCGAAUCUAGGGAAUGAGAUUGCACCAGAUGAUCGAACUGGCAAUCAUCUGAGUGGGGAUGGUGAAAUCGCUUCUCCGAUUCGGUGCAUGAGGUUGUUUCGGGAGGGAGAUGGAAUUGUAUCCUCAGUUUGUGAGGUUCGUCCAGAUCGAUCUUCGGAGAUACUAACUGAUACCGAGAUCGUUGUUUCACCUUCAGUUGCUACAGGUCCUUGUGGAGGGAGGGAAUAGAGUUUUGUUGAAACGCAUGAUGGGUGUGCCACGGCGGAUGUGGUGGAGGUUGAGGGUCCUACACGACGAGGUCCGUUUGACCUGGUUGAGCUCAACCAUGGUGGCUGUAGGGUCCAGGAGGAGAAUAUUCCGAGUCCCGGUUUCCCCUUUGAUCACAUUUCCCCUCUUUUCCACCAUUUUGUGGCGACAGUGUGGUUCUAGGGCUUCGGAUUGUACCGCCGGGGUGGAGGCGGUGAAUCCUGUGAGUGAAGGUGGGGGAGUGAUUGCGGUGGAGAUGGCUGAUGGAGGAGACUGGCGUGGUCGAGGUGGAUUUGGUGCUGGUGGACGUGGCGGCGGUGGAACUAGCCAUCCUUGGCAGGGUGGGUGUGGAGGGGGCGGUGAUGCCCGUUCCUACAACAAGCAGCGGCAGUCGUAUGGGCAAAAUUUGGGUAUGAAACGCUUCUCCUCUCAAAACCAGACUGGGUCGGACGUCUCAAUUUCAGCAGAAACAGUAUCAGCAUACAGAUCCGCAACUGCAACUGCAGCAGUUUGCGAGCGAUGUGGAUGGACGCGGAGGAGGAGCUCAACAAGGGGGACAGGGAAUGUUGCAGAUGGUUGGUGGUCAGAAUCAAAUCAUUUCACACAGAGUGGUGAGUAUUGGUAUAGGCGAUCCGGUGGCUUCUAGAGGUACUGGGACUCAGAAUCAGUCGGGAACUCAGAAUCAAAUUGCUGUGGGGAAUGAUGGAAAUGCUGGGCUAAGACAGAAUGGUGGAUCUGGUGGUAAUCAGGUGACUAGUGGAAGUAUUGCUGCUCAGAAACAAUUGGAGGGUGGUGCCAAUCAGAACCAGGGAGGGGCUAGAAUGGGGAGGAAGAUCUUGCAAUGUCAGAAAUGUAAGGAAUUGGGGCAUGUGGUGAAGUAUUGUACUGUUGUGAUUCAAUGCAUUAUCUGUGCUAAGGAAACUCAUCUAACUGAAGAUUGUGUGUGGCCAAAACAAGUUAAAUCUGUUGCUAGCUUUGUGGGGUAUGGAGCGCCUGGGCUGGGAUGUAUUCUGGUGCAUAAUUCAAAGAUUACCCAUCUAGCUGAUCAUGUAAACCCAAUGGCCAUCAUACAGACCAAAGGAGGUGGAGUUUCAGAGCAACAAAUUGUGGCUGGAUUUCAAGCAAUGUUUAAGUGGAAUUGGGAAUGGAGGGCCAAGGCAAAUGGGAACAAUCAAUUCUUGAUGAGGAUGCCAAGUAAAGCUAAACUUGAAGAGCUUUGCAACUUUGAAGAUUUUGGGCUUAAAGGGACAGGGGUCUUUGUUAAGGUGCUUGAGUGGAUACUUGAAGUAACAGCUAAUGGGAAGUUAAAUACAGCUUGGGUAUAGGUUCAAGGUUUGCCUAAUUCAUUGAAACAUUAUAUGGGGGUUUGUGAAGCUGGCUCUGUUCUAUGCCCUGUAAUUGAUGUGGACAUGGAGAGUUUGAGAAACCAAGAUCUGAUUAGGAUUAAAAUGGGGCUUCGAGAUCCUGGCAAACUACCUAUUCAGACUGAAAUAACUACAAGUGAGCUGUUUAUGUAUGAUCUGUAUUUUACUCUAGAAAGUGUUGUGGAGGAAGGGUGACAAAGAAAUCUUAGGGCUGUUAACAUCAGAGGGAGCAUAGAGGGUGAAGACAGAGAUCCAAAGAAAUAGAGGUUGGGACUUAAUACUAGAGAGAUCAUUUAGUUGGGGAGUCUCUCAAUUGCCCAAUUUGAAUCUGCUAAGAAAACUAAUGAGGGAGAUGUUAGGAAUAGCUUUGCACCUCUGCUUAUGGAUGAAGGUGGGAGCAGUGGAGGGGGAUCACUUGAUCUGGAGAAGAUAAAGGAAGCUGAUGAGGAACUUUCUAGAAAAUUAGCUUUAAUUGAGAAAGAAAAAAGGUCCUAGCUGACUUAAUUCUUGCAAAAGAGAAUAUGGUUUUAGAGGUGGAAGAUCAUAAAGCUCAACUUGCUACCACCAGUAAAAAAUUGCUGGAGACACAAAAGCUGAUUGAGAUCCAUAAAGAUUAUGGAGUGGGUGGGAGCCAAAACUCUCAAGAGGAAAGUGAGAAACAAGUGGAUUAUACUACCAGUCAGGAGAAAGAGAUGGAUGAAUUUGAUCUGGAAGAAGUUGAGGAGGUACCAGAGGUGGAGGAUACAAAUGACAAGGGGGUGGUUCCUAACCCAAGAAGAUGUGGAAGACUGAAAGGGAAAGAACACAAGAAAGUGGAGGACUUGGCUAUUGAAAGAGCUCAGGCCAAGAACAAUGCGGGGCAAGGUACUGCUGAUCACUUAUCUUUUGUUGAUUCUGAUAAUGUUUCCUUGCACCAAAUUGCUUCUGCCAUAGGAAUUAAUUUGGGUAUUGCUAUUGAUAUGGUUGAUCAUAAUGUGGGCUUGCUCAAGGAUCUUGAGCAAGCUAGAAUAAAUCUUUAUAAUCAACAAAGCAGGGCACCUGAUUUGGGUGGACCUACUAAUGAUACUGUUGGUUUAUCUGGUGAUAAGUUACUAGAUGAACUUUUGGCUGAACUAGAUGCUGAGGAACAAAUGGAUAUUACUUUAGAUGAGAAUGGAUACCAGAAGGUGGUAAGUAAAAAGAAAAAGAAAUUGAAAAAGCACUCACCUGACAUUGUUAGUGUGAAGACAUUAGUUAAAUAUAGAAGGAGCAAAACAUGAAACGCAUUUUCUGGAACAUUAGGGGGAUGGGCAAAGAGGCUAAACAGAGAUAUAUUAGAGAAUUGAUAAAUGAAACACAUUUGAACUUCUUGGGUUUACAGGAGACAAUGAAAAAUGAAUUUUCUAAUGUAGAUCUAGCAAACCUGGGAGGAGGGGGGACUUUUUCUUGGAAAUGGUCACCCUCUAGAGGGAGGUCUGGAGGGAUUCUUGUUGGGGUGAGAGAUUCUGUUUUUGACAUAGUGGAACAACAAAAUGGAAAUUAUUAUGUUCGACUGUUGCUAUAUGACAGAAAUCAUGAUGUUAGAUGGAAUCUGGUUGUGGUUUAUGGGGCUGCUCAAAUAAAGCAUAAAGAGGAUUUCCUGCUUGAAUUAUCUCAAGUUUGUCAGGAUAGUAGUUAUCCUAUUCUGAUGGGUGGUGAUUUUAACAUAAUCAGGAAAGAAAAUGACAAAAAUAAAGAGGUAGGUUAUAAUCGAUGGAGCUUCCUGUUCAAUGCUAUAAUUGAACAUCCAUGUCUGAGGGAAUUGGCACUCAAUGGGAGACAAUUCACUUGGUCGAAUGAACAUGAGAUUCCAACUUUUCAAAAAUUGGACAGAAUCUUAAUGAGCAUAGACUGGGAGGAUAUGUAUCCUCUCACAAUAGUUUCUGCUCUUGACAGAAUAAGCGGAUUUUUGGCCUGUACGUUCACUGGAUUUUGCUAUCACACCACAAGUUUCUGCUUGAAGAUCUGUGCAACAUGGUUCCAUGGUGCACCGGCUGGGGGAACCCCACGCUGGCAAGCUGUUCUUCGUAGCCCUGUCAAGACCUGGUCCUCCUUGUCCUGUCCCCCGAAAUUACGUGUUGGCUAGCAUCGCGUGCUCUGCUUUUCUGGUGCAUCGCAUCAGGUGGGCCCUGGGCUUUCUUCGUUUAGCAUCUGCGCCUGUGGGAACGGAAAGAGUACAGAGGUUCCAAGAAAAUGCCGAUUUCAGAAACUAUCCUGCUGGAGGUGCCGCUCUCUCGCCACCUGAACGGGUGGGGGGGUGAUUGGUAGCCCGCCGGCCAUAAGGAUGGAGACAUGACUGGACCGGAUGAGCCCAUCAACUUCUAACCAGGUUAGUUACGCUUUGGUUGCAAGGGGUCGACGGUGUGUGUUUGGGGGUUGUGAGUUCUAGGGACUCUUGGUGCGGCACUUGGUCAUGGGUGGUUUUUUGGAUUUGUCACACCGGGUGACGCUGAUUUUGAUUCUGUUUUUGAUGUUUCUCAGAUAGACUUGGACCUUGCUUCGCAAAUGUGCUACUCCGCUGGCCUUGUUCCGGCGGAGCAAGGGUGUGAGAAUAGUCAGGCAGCGCGCGUGUCAGCAGAUCUGCUAGAUUUCGAUCUUGAAGGUUGUAGUAGGAUGGCUGUAGAAGGUCGAGGUAUCGAAGAAUUAGCCGGUAACAACGCGCCGCAUCCUGUGCUAGUUUCAAAUCCGCAAUGUGCAGCCGCCUAGUGCGCCUGCUCCGUCAAAUGAUCUGCAAAUGAUCUUACCGAAACGCGGAUUCAUCUGCUGACAGUCUUUCACUUCAGGGUCUGACUCACCACCGCUUAGCAGGUCUUCUGCUCGACGAUUCAGGUGGGCUGAAGUGCCGGAAUGGUAGAUCUCUCUGUCAAGAAUCUUGGCUACAAGUUUCAUGUUCUCUUUGACGAUCGCGACCUUGAAUUUGUAGGUGAGCAUAAUGCACCGGGCAUUGUGGUACUUCAGCGCGUCCACAACAUCAAGACCGAGCAUGCCAGGGUAGUUUGAUGACAGGAAGUCAGUGAACUCGCUGCCAUGGUGCCAUGGUGUCUGCCAGUAUCAUCUUGUUGAUGACCGCCUCGUCUGCGUACUGGCUGAUGUGUGGCAUGACAGUGUGAGCGUUGCCAAGAUGUCCAAGCGUGAUGUUGUCGAGAUAAAGGACCUAUUUGGAAAACAAGUUAGCAUAUGAAGAUGGGAUAUGGGAAGGAAAGAGCCAAGCAACAAAGUACUUCCAUAUAAUUUUGAAGAUGCAAGUGUUGCUACCUGGACUAGCAAUGGACAUCCUGUUAUUGACAUUGUAGCCUUGUUGCUACGGAUGUCCUCCUGCACCCUAUCGGCCACGUCAAUCAUGUGAUCAAGAAAGUAUAGGCCCCAAUUAUAGUCCUUUAUCUCACUAGCCUUGUAAAGAGAGCCCCAAAAUUCAGAGGAACCAUGCCCAUGUUUCCCGGUUGGAGCAAAGAACCGGCCAACGAUCCAUACAACGAAGGAAAUCUGGAACUCUUUUACGUUCUCUUCGGUGGUGUCAUCGUCCCAUUCCCUCUGCACCACUAACUCGGCUGCCUGCAACCCGUUCGAGCAGUGUUGGAUAGCACCCAUGGCGUGCCUCACAAAGUCGAUUUUCUCAUCGUUGGUGUCCGGAUCCAAUGCGCACACUGUCUUCCCUCGAGAGGGGACACCGAUCAUCAGCUCAAAAUGUUGCGGGCUGAGCUGGAGCGUGGUGUCUCUUCCAACUAACAUGGACCUUUUGCUCACAUCUACCCUGGUAAGGAUCCAUAGAGUAUACUUGAGGUUGACUCGAUUUAUCCUAGGAAUGUCCAGGCAGCCACGAAAACCAAUAUCCCUGACUGCAACCUUCUUAGCAUCAUAGAAUUUUGUUAUAAUGGCACUUACAUGGCGGGCCGAGCUUCGGGCUAUCCGAGACUCAGCACCCCCGUCGCUGUCUGUCUCUGACUGCUCGCUGUCUUCCCCAGCGGUUUCAACGUUCCGGGCGGCGACAAAGGCCCAGGAUCUGGUUCGGGCGAGCCUGGUCCUGGCGAGUGCGCUUUCGGGGGCGAGAUGGCACCGCUAUCUCCGCGGCAAGUUUCUCCACCUGCGACAAAUUAACAAAAUAAAGGGAACGGUCAGAUCUGCAGAUGUGUGAGAUUUGAGGAUGAACAAACAGAGAUUUUGACAACCACUUGGCCAGAAACCAUGACGGGCGUCGACGGUACUAAGCGGGGAGCAUGCUGCUGCAACGAGAUUUGAUAAUAGUGCUUGUAGCUGGGUGGAGGACUGAAGUUGGGAGUGACGAAGAAUACCUGGGAGACGGAAACGCGCAUCUGUCAGGGAGCAACGAUGAAGUGACCUGCAUAUCCGGGAUUCCAGGGAACAUUGGGCGAACGGUUCUUACGGCCUGAAAGUCAACAGAGGUAUCAUGCUGUGGGGCCCAGGUUCUAAUCUGCAAGCUAAGGACGCACAAUGAGGGGUGGUUUAGGAAGAGAAAGCUUCGUCACACUGCAGGCGUCUCCCCGACAAGAUCUAGAUCCUGAUGAUAAAUUUGAACCCUAGGAGAACAAAUCAAGCCUGGGAUUCCGCGGAGUGCGCGACUAUUACUGGCAGGAGGCAAGACAGCAUUCGCAUAGUAGCGCUGGCGGAUCGAACGAGCUCGCAUGCUUGCUGCUGUCCGUGGAAAUGUUAGGUGCGGGGAUCUUGUUCCGGCUCACGAUUUCCAUGGGUAAGCAGUGGGGUGGACGGGGGAGCAAAUGGGGAAAGGGCGGAGUGAUGCAGGACCGAACGACGUAGGAUGCACGGAAAGGUGGAACGUGUGAGGACAGAGUGCUUUAGGACGUCGAGUCACACGAAUUGAGGACAGGAGAAGUACCUGUCCUAUGGUUCGGUCCCCACGCCGGAUGCUACAAGCUAGAACAGGAAGCGUGAGCCCUAUAAAGAAGUAGUAGGAAACGCGAGGAGAUCGGACGGCAGCAGAUGUACGUUCCAAUGAACGUACAGGCCAAACUGCAUUUCCCCUUGACAGAAUUAUGUCAGACCAUGUUCCUUUAUUAUUAGAUUCUGGAGUGGGAUUGAAAAAGGAUCAUGUUUUUAGAUUUGAGAGCAACUGGUUUGAAAGGGUUGGAAUAAGAGAAAGCAUUCAACAUAUUUGGGCAGCUGCCCCACAACAUCUUAUAUCUUUAGAUAAAUGGCAAUGGAUUUUAAGAACAAUCAGGAAAAAAAUUAAAGGGCUGGAAUAGGAACGUGGAUGCCCUUUAUAAAAAAUUGAAAAAAGAGAUCUCUGCUCAAGUGGCUGACCUUGAUGUACUGGCUGAAUCUACUUGUGUUUCUCCAGCUCAAUUGGAACUGAAGAAAGGGCUGGAACUACAGUACAAUAGAUUAUUGAGACAAGAAGAGUUAAAAUGGCAACAGAGGUCUAAGGAGAAGGAUAUUCUUGAGGGUGAUAAUAAUACAAAAUAUUUUCAUGCUAAAGCUAAUGGGAGAAGGAGGAAAAAUAUUAUCCUAUCCCUGGAACAGGAAGAGGGGGUGAUACAUGGAGAGGAGAACCUGAUGAGUUAUAUCACUGAUUUUUAUAAAAAAAAACUUUUUGGGCACUCCAAUAGUGCAUAGAUUGCUCUGGACUAUCAGAAUGGUGCCAAAAUUACUGAUGAUCAUAUUUCCAGUUUGAUCUCUCCUUUUACUAUGGAAGAACUAAAAUUUGCUGUCUUCAAUAUGGAGAGAACUAAAUCACCUGGGCCAGAUGGAUUCCCCGCAGAAUUUUAUCAAGUUUACUGGGAUAUUGUCAAGAAUGAUCUGUUUACUCUGUUAUGUGAAUUUCACAAUGGGGGAUUGCAGAUUGAGAGGAUUAAUUAUGGGAUAAUUACAAUAAUUCCUAAAUGUAAGGAUGCAAAACAAAUACAGAAGUGUAGACCUAUUUAUCUGUUAAAUGUUAGUUUCAAAAUAAUUACAAAAGUCUUAAUGAACAGGCUCUCUUUGUGUGUGGGUGAAGUUAUUUCCAAUAAACAAACAGUUUUCCUUAAGGGGAGAUAUAUAAUGGAGGGGGUCAUGGUGUUGCAUGAGACACUUAACUUCAUACACACUAGAAAAAAAUCUGCCAUUUUAUUUAAGGUUGAUUUUGAGAAAGCGUAUGAUAAAAUUAAAUGACCUUUUGUGUUACAAAUGUUAAAAGCUAAAGGAUUCCCUGACAAAUGGUGUGACUGGAUAAUGGGAAUCAUGAGGGGAGGGAAAGUUUGCAUUCGAGUCAAUGAUUGUUUUGGGCCCUAUUUUUCCACUUAUACUGGACUCAGGCAAGGGGAUCCUAUUUCUCCCCUUCUCUUUGACCUUGCUGCUGAUGCACUUGCUAUGUUGUUGGAGAAUGCUCCAACAACACUGGCUUGAUUGAAGGGGUAAUACCUGAGUUAAUUGAAAGGGGGGUCAACAUUCUUCAAUAUGCUAAUGACACCAUUUUUAUGAUCGAGGAUGAUAUAGAGAGUGCUAGAAAUUUGAAGUUUGUGUUGUGUGCUUUUGAACAAAUGUCUGACUUAAAAAUUAAUUUCCACAAAAGCGAUUUAUAUUGCUUUGGGGAAGCGGUUAAUAAGGACAUAUCUACAACAAUAUUUUUACUUGUAAAAGAGGGGAUCUUCCUCUUAGCUACUUGGGGAUACCUAUAGAUGCUGUGAGACUGAGGAACAAACAUUGGAAAAGGGUGGAAAGCAAGAUGGAGAAUAGGCUGGGAUGUUGGCAGGGGAGGAUCCUUUCUACCGGAGGAAGGAACACUCUCAUUAAUUCUUGCUUGAGUAGUAUUCCACUUUAUAUGAUGUCUUUUUAUGAGUUGCCAGUGGGUGUUAGAAAAAGGCUUACUUUUUUAGGGCUAGAAUGUUAUGGCAGGAAGAGGAAGGGGUUAAGAAGUACCAUUUAGUGGCUUGGGAUAAAGUUUGUCGGUUGAAGGAGCAAGGGGGUCUGGGUAUUCUGAAUUUGGAUGUGAUGAAUAAGGCUUUGCUGGGUAAGUGGAUAUGGAAAUUCUUUAAUUCUAAGGGGUUAUGGCAGAAUCUUUUGCAUCAGAGGUAUGUGAAGGAUAAGUGCAUUGGGAGUGUUAAACAUAGGGCUGGGGAUUCGAUGUUUUGGCAAGAAAUCUUGCAUGUUAAAAAUAGUUUCUUUGACUUGUGUAAGUUUCUAAUUGGAAAUGGCAAAAACACUCGGUUUUGGGAGGAUUGGUGGAUAGGGACAAAACCUUUGAUGCUCCAAUUUCCUACUUUAUAUGAGAUCUACUUCAGUAAACAGAUCUCAGUGGCUGCGGUUGUGUCAAAAAAAGGGGGUUUGUUUUCGCCGAACUCUCUGCGGUGAUUUGUUUGUGGAUUAGCAUAAAUUUUACAAAUGUGUGAAAGAGUGAAGUUGAAGAAUACAAAUGAUAAGCUUUGGUGGAGCUUGUCUCACAAUGGAAAGUUUACAGUUAGAUCUUAUUAUAGGAAAUUGAUGUGGUCUAAUAUGGACUUUCCACAAAAGUUUUUGUGGAAAAUCAAAAUCCCUUUGAAAUUAAGAUUUUCCUUUGGUUGAUUACUCAUGGGAGUAUUUUAACUAAAGAGGUUCUACACCAUCGUGGGUGGAAAGAUGAUACGCGGUGUCAGUUUUGUGGCCUUGAAGAGACAAUUGAUCAUUUGUUUCUUCAUUGUUCCUUGGCACGAUUUGUUUGGAAUGUGUUAAAAUGUGCUUUCAGUUUACCUUUGUUGCCAACCACUGUUAGUGAGGUGUGGGAUACUUGGCUACCCUCCUUCACUGGGCAGACGAGGAAACUGGUAAUGGUGGGCAUUGCUGGGAAUUUCUGGACGUUGUGGAAUACCAGGAAUAAAGCCUUUUUAGUAAUAUAAGAUUGGCAUCUCCAUUCGGGGUGGUGAAGAUGGUGUGUUACUGGCUUAACAUUUGGUCUAUUCUGCAGACAAAGGAAGCAAGUCGAAAUCUGCUUCAGUGGGGGAUUAAGCUCAUUGAACAGGUGCCGCGAGAAGUUUUUGAGGCAGUGAGGGCAUGGAAUCCACUACAACGACGCUUGGAGUGGUGCGACUAGUUGAAUCUGACGAUCGCUGUUCCUGGAAGCUGUUCUGGCUCUCAGAUGUUGAGAGCAUUGUAGGCGGAUGGCUCAGUUUGUCCCUGUAGCUAUCUUGUCUUGUCGCUUCUCCUAGAUAUGUCUGAGUUGCACAGCAGUAGUCUUUAUAAGCUCUGCUGAUUUCUGUCUGUCUAUUUUUUCUGUUUUUUUGAACCUGAACAUUGUAGUUGGUUUCUUUAAUGAAAUCGGAGAGGGCGAGACCCCUCUUUUUUUUUAAAAAAAAAACAAUUGUUUUCUCUGACAUAAUUUUGUUUGGUCUUAAAACUCACCGGUUUCAGCUUUCUGACCGUAAAUGUGGUAGCACGACCAGGGACGGAUGCAGGAAUUCAACAUGAGGAGGGCGAUUUGGGGUUUGGGGGGGGAGGGGGCAGAAUUAGAGAGAUGAUCUAUUUUAAAGGGAUUUUAAUGGAUUGAUUAGUACUGUACAUAUUAAGUAAAAUCGAAUUUAUUAGGGGGGGCAAAGGCCCCCGGCGCCCCCCUUGUCUCUGUCCCUGAGCACGACUGAAACCAAAAUCCAACUAAUGUACUCCAUCUAUCCGUCAUCAUAAGAUGUUUUCCUCGCAACCUAGCCACAGCAACGGAAAUUAUGAGGAGCGCGUUUUACCACCGAGUUACGCUGUCAGUUUCUCGGCUGAAAUGCAUGACAAUGGCAGAAAAUUUACUGCUCCAAAUGGCGAAGAAGAAAUUCAUAGUGCUCUAACAUGUAUUUCAAAAAAACAAUUAUCUGUCUUUAUUGAUUCAAUAAUACAAGUGAAAAAUAUCGUAAAAACUAAAAUGAAUAUUGACAAAUGAAUAUUGAAAACAAUGAUUCCAAAAGUUAUUCAAAGUUAAAACCUUAAAAAUCAACAAAAUAUUGAUAUUUUUCAAAUGAGCCCCGGCGAUCAAUAGAAUCAUACAAACUGGACUAAGAGCAACUCCAGUAGAGCUCCCAAAUCUCUAUAUUGGGAAUCCCUAAAAAAAAAUUCUCUCCCCGAAUUUGCUAUCUUCCUAGACUCCCGAAAUCUCACCUUCUAUAAUUGAUUUACCUAUAUUUUAUUCAUACAUGUUCCAACUGUUUUGGAAAAGGGAGAGAGAUUUUGCUGCAAUCGUUGUGAUGGGUAGUAAUUAUCCAGUGCCCAAAUUUGAAGGCUCCCAGGAGGGAUCUUGGGGUCGGCCAAAUUCGGGAAGUAGGAUGGGGUUCUACUGGAUCCCUUUUUUUCACCAAAACCCUCCACAUUAGACUAUAGGGGUGGGAUGGGGGAAUAAUGGAGUUGCUCUAACCUCUUAAAAUCAAAUUCUCAGCGUUCUAGCAUUUUUUUUAAGAGGCGCAGCGUUCUAGCAAUUUUGUUUUCUGAGGUUGCUUCUUCCAUCUGGCCCGUUAGGCCCAACAAAUAACAUAAUACUUGGUCCAAACUCAAAUCCAACUCGGAGCUCGAUGGAAACUCCAGCCCAGUGUCCUUACCACUCACGGCCCAUGCCAAGCGGCCCACAUAAAGCGGGCGCGGACGUGCAGAGAGAGAGGACGGACCGACCGCUACACCACCAACCCCAACCCGCCGCUCGUUCUCGGGCUCAAGAGGGUCAAUCGCAAAACCCUAUCUUCUUCCCCCCAUCUUCCCCAGCGACGGCACCAGGCCCCUCCGCCUCUCUCUCGUGCCCGCACCCGGUACGGCUUCUCCUUCUACCUCCAUCGACGGGCUCCCCUCCAUAUCCUCACUCCGUUAUCCGUGUUUUUGUUGUUGUUGAUUUCUAGGGUUUGUAUUUUCGUUAUUCGGGGUCGGGGGCAUGUCUGUAUGCGCAUCAGAUGCGGGUUUGCUGUGUAGUUCGCAGGAUUACUGUUUCGAGGGUAGGUUCGUGUGGUUCUUGGAUCUGUAGUCGCGCUGCUGUCACUUUGGUAUCAUCUGAGUUACCUCGCUGUUCUAGGGUUUGUGGGUGCGUCGUAGGAAUCGGCGGGAGCUUUGCGCGCCUUGAACAGCUCGUGGGAGUUUAAACUGUAGGCUAUAUUUUCUCGGAAAGGUGGUUAACCUUAAGUUAAGUUUAUCUGAAAUUUUGGGUUUAUCUCCUGUACCCUGCGAUUCGACAUGAGAAAGGCCUGCUUACUGUAUCCGAAUCCUGCAUUUUUUUCGAACCAUCCUUGACUCUAGUUUUGAUGUAAUAGUGCUCCUUGGGAUUACAGGUUGCAGCAAGGAAGGAUGAGUAGGCGCUGGAGCCGGACUAUUUACGUAGGGAACCUCCCCGGUGAUAUCAGGGAGAGGGAGGUGGAGGAUCUCUUCUACAAGGUUGGUAUUUCUAAUUCCAUAGUGUGAAUCUUAUUUCUCUUGAAAACAAGGAAAUAGUGACAUAACUCUAAAAUACAUAGGACGAUGUUGUAGUUUACUGUUUUUUUCCUCUGGAUAACAGGAACACUCUAGUUUUGAUGUGUUAUUUUUCUCUCCUGAGUGCUGAAAAUAACAUUAAUAGUUGUGCCAUUCGGUAUUAAGAUAAUAAUCUGCAGUCCCUAAUUCACUCUGCAAUUUGGAAUUUUACUCCGAUUCUGCCUGAGUAUCUGAUGUUUAAUUCUUUCCGUGCAGUAUGGACGGAUUGUUGAAAUCGACUUGAAGGUUCCCCCUAGGCCACCUGGCUUUGCUUUUGUGGAGGUAACUCUUUGAAUAUGUUAAUCUUCUUUAUCUUUGCGAUCUGAAUUUAGAAUUUUUGUGCUUUUUAGGAGCUACUGAUUUUUUUCCGAGUUAGUGUAUAAUAUGGAUCCUGACUCUCAGUACUUGUUACCGUGCCAUAUAGUUUGAAGAUCCCCGAGAUGCUGAAGACGCGAUUCAUGGACGGGAUGGCUAUAAUUUUGAUGGAAAUCGGCUGAGGGUAGGUGCAAUGAGUUCCGCAUCAUGCUCUUCUCAGUUCACAUAUUUAAUCCUCACUAUCCACAGGUCGAACUUGCACAUGGCGGGAGGGCCAACUCUUCUUCGCUUCCAAACAGCUACGGUGGUGGAGGUGGAGGUGGAGGACGCCGUGGCGGUGUCUCUCGGCAUACAGAGUAUCGCGGUAUGGUAAACAUAUUGAAACGGUUACUGAGUACUCUACUUCUCUGUUUAUAAGCUAAUUCUUUGUGCGCCUUUUGACAGUUCUGGUUACUGGACUACCUUCUUCUGCAUCAUGGCAAGAUCUAAAGGUGAAUACUGCAAGACCAUAUUUUUCAUCAAUUUUUCAGCUUUAUUUUACCUUCUCACCGUUUUUCUCCUUAUUUCUCUGAAUGUUGCUGCAGGACCAUAUGCGAAAGGCUGGUGAUGUCUGUUUCUCUGAGGUGUAUCGUGAGGGUGAUGGUGAGUUAGUUUGGGUACCCAACUCCCUGCUGCACUAUAUUUUUCAUUUUUCCACUGUGUUCUGUUCACCCGGGCAAGAUGCAAAUGGAUUAGAUGAACAAGUUACAAGUCAGCUGCCAACAUUGUUAGAUGUAAAUUGCAUGCUUUUAGUGCCCACUUUAUAAUUCACGGCUGUUCUGAUUGAACUUAUUUCUAGAAAAUAGCAGUGAUAUCCUUUUCUUACCACAUCUUACAUGUUCAAACGUUCAUAUGGGACUCAUGGUGUGCGUGGUGCCUUGAUUGUAUUAAAACCCCAGCUUGAUUGCUAGUUCCAACUGUAUUAAUCAGGUUUAGUUAAGACAUGGCUGUUAACAGUGUACUUAUUUUCUAUCAAGUUAUUCGUGUUGUGUUGCUGCUACCUGUUGUUUACGUACAACAUCAUUGUUUGCUACAGGGACCACUGGAAUUGUGGAUUAUACAAACUAUGAUGACAUGAAGUAUGCUGUAAGUCCUCUCCUCUUUUCCUUUUCUUUUUUCCGGCUUCUCUUAUUGUUUGAGUUGCUAUUUUUUGUUACAUUGGAAUGCUGCUUUUCAUUACGCCUUCACAAUCUUGUUGAAUUUGUGGUUUUCAAGCACUGGGAUCGGCAGUGCCUUUACUUUGUAAUUGAAGUUGAAUUUUUUUUAAUGAACCAUGUGCAGAUAAGGAAACUUGAUGAUAGUGAAUUUAGAAAUGCCUUUUCGCGGGCACCUAUAAGGGUAAGUACACACUCUGAUGUCUAUUUUUAUAAUUUAUUCUGGGCUUGAACUUGUUCUGAAAUUAACCAACACACCACAACAUUGUUUUCUAAAGGUGAAAGAGUAUGCUGGCAAACGCAGCUGCUCAUACUCACGAAGCCGUAGCAGAAGCCGGAGUCAGAGCUACAGCAGAAGCAGGAGUCCAAGGUCAGGCUGUGAGAUUACAUUCUGUUGGCCCUGGGUAACAUAACUGAUCACUGAUCAAAAUUGUUAUGCUUUCAGCAAGUCUCCUAAGGCGAAACCAUCACGCCGUUCAGCAUCAAGAUCUCGAUCCAGAUCAGUUUCUUCCCAUCCACGGUCAGAGUCAAAGGGACGCUCUCCAUCAAGGUAACUUUGUCCCUGUUGUUAAUUCAGCAUGGUAAAUAUUGCAGUCUGCAAAGUUUCUGUAUAACCAAAUGCUUCUGGAGGUAAAUAUUGCCAUCGCACAUGUGUACACAUGUAUGCUCUGGUUGAAACUUGAAAAUAAUGGUCUGUGCGGAACAGCCUAAAUACUAUACAUCUAUCCAAGUUGGCAAGUGCAAACAAACUGUUAACCCUCAUGCUUUGGAUGUUGGAUUUACGAACAAGUCAUGAUUAAUUAAACUUACUGAUUUUUCCUAAUUGUUCUGGAAAUUAUCACAAGUUUUAUCACAUUCUAGUGUCAAAUGUUUCAUGUCUAACUAAAUUGGCUAGUGCCCGUUUCUUAAAGCGUCAAAUCAUUUCUUCCUUAGAUGAGGGAUUGUGCUGCGAUCUAGGGAUUGCGCAUUAGGAAAUUGAGGAUGGGGAUUUGGUCAAUUUGCACCAGCUCCAUUGGUUGACUGAGGUAUGGUAAUAAACUGGGAGCUGAACUGGAAGCUAAAAAUCAUCUAUUAUUGUUGACCUAAUGUACUGUAACUGAUUACAUCAGAGAUUGGGCAUAAGGAUUGGUUUGGAACUCUGGAAGUAGAGCAUUAAGGAUUGACGGUAUGGACUAUGACGGCACAUUGGGAUUUGCUCAGAUUUGAGUACAUGAGGAUUGUGAUCCUUUCUGGCUCCUUCACUGGCUUCAAAUCGGAGGGCUAUUCUAGCGUAUGAUCACGUAACAUUGACAUGAAACACUUUCAGUACUGCAUGUUUUUGACACAAGAAACUGAUUGCUUUUAAUCCUAAUGACUUCAUUUAACUUCCAUGUGGCCAUUUCAAUGCUUAAUUGGGAGGUAUCGAGGUUUCUGGAAGCAAGCUGUUCAAUUUGCAUUCUGAUUUUGAAUCCUGUUCGUUUCUGAAACCUUUUGCAGAUCACCAGCAAAAUCCCGAUCCCCUAUUGCUUCUGUAAGUAUUCUCAACGGUGCUUAUUUUUGUUGGUAAAGUUUGUGGUUGAAACUCACUUUUCGUUAUUUUUGCGCAGCCUGCCAACGGUGCAGCAGCAAGCCCCAAGAAACGCAGCCCAUCACGCUCCCCAUCUCCUCCUGAUGUAAUAUAGUUCUUACACUUGUUCUCGCGUACUGUUGAUAGUCAAGUGGUUGUUGAUCUUACACUGAUCCAAUUGCAUUUUCAGGCCAAAUCAGAAUAGAGCUGAUGUUCUGCUGGGUGGCGGGGUUGGAGCCAUGGUCCUCAAAACGCUUGGAUAUUUGUCGCCCUCGCCAACUUCGGAGCUCGCUGUUAAAGCACCUAGUUUUCCUAGGGCCCUGCGUGACAUUUCCUGUAAACGUAUUUGAAUGGGAACUUGAGAUUUAUGCACAAUUUCUUUAUGUUGACAAUUUACUUGGAUUAUCUAUGGUCGUAAGAAGACAUUUGAAAAAGAGUCAUACAUUCAUAAUAUGUGCUAUGUUUGUCGUACAUGGCGGUUGAACCGCUCUUCCUGACUGAUAAUUUAAACGCAUGCAUCAUACAUACUGGUACAAUUGGGUGCACACAGUCGUUACGUAAUGACACGAAUGCCGCACUGGAAUCUUUUAACGUAAUAUGACGCUGUUGGUUUACACAAUGUAUCAUCACUCUUGAUUGAAUCGGCGAUCAUUUGGUGUGCUUGGGCUGCUUGACGAUCAUGACGGAGCAGUGCGCGUGGUGUGCGCAGUAGUCGCUCACGCUCCCCAGAAAGGCCCUGCACCAUCAACAAGCGCUCAUUCAGUAGAUAGGUAGAUUCAGUUGAGUUGAGGAGGUGAAUCUUAGGCAGGAAUUUAGAAAGGCUGAGCAUUUGAAGCCUAGGCAGGAGAAUGCUGCAAAAACACCAUCGUCAUCUCUAGAAGAAAGGAGCUGCAGGAAGCAAGACGAACCUCUUGAUGGCGCCGUAGCCAUGGCUGCCGACGACGAGCAUGUCGGCCCGGUGCUUGUCGAUGGCGUUGCACAGCACUAUCCUCGGCUCCCCUUCCACCACCUCAACCACGCCCUCAACCUGCCGGAUUGAUUCAGCCAGUCAGUCCAAGCUAAGUACGCUACCUACAUCAAUCAGUCUCCCUUUCUCUCGAUCCAAGAUUCCAAGUUCAUACCGAGCUGGCGGCGCAGAGGCGGCGCGCGCGCUCAACCACCUCCUCCGCCCUCCGCCGCAGGUCCGCCUCCACGUACCUCAGCACCUCGCCGCCGGCAGCGGCCGCUGGAGAGAACAAAAAACCCAAAACCAAUUCCCAAUCGGAACUCUGCGUCACCAUAAAUUCAGAAUCCCGAACCGAUCCCCCGGAAAUUAAAAUACGGAGUAGAUCGAAUCAAGGAUGGGUCGGAGAGGGGUGGUGGUGGUUACCGGCCCCGCCGACGGUGACGACGGAGGACGGGGACGGCUUGGCGUGGACGACGACGAGCUCGGCGGCGGCCAUGGCGGCCACGUGGCGCACGGCCCACUCCAGCGCGCGGUAGCUGUGGUCGCUGUCGUCCACGCCCACCAGCACCACCGUCUUGUUCCUCGUCUCCUCCUCCUCCGCCGCCGCAGGAGCUGCUGCCGCUGCCUCAGUCUCCGCCAUGUAUGUAUGCUCUGGUCAGAAUCAGAGAGGAGGAUUCUCAAUCUGCCUGCUUCUUGCUUGCUUGAUCGGAGAGGGGUAGUGGUGGUGGGUCUUGACUCUUCACUCUUGUUGCAGGUUAUACAACGGCAGGCCGUGGACUAUAUAUAUAUAUACAACGGUGGUGAACUGCGCGAGCUGAGCUGAAAUCGGGGCUGACGAGGACGAAAACCGGAAGUGGAUCCGCCGCCGGGAAAUGGAAAACGGGAGGAGCUAAGCUGCUUGUUGCCUGCUCCGGUUUUCUCCUUUUUCCCGUUUCGUUUCUCGUCCUUGUCUUUGACUUUUCAGCUUGGACCUGCUGCUCUGCUCCUGCUAGUUGAGUGCUUGCUUGCUAGGAAAGACAGCAACAGACCAACUGAUGAUUAACCAACAGAAGCUUCGAUCUCGCAGAUUUGGUGUGAUGCAGCAUCGCACCGCACCGCAUUUCAUUCUACGUACGGUACAACAAAGCAAAAUCUACGUGCUUCACUCACUCCGGUAACUUUAUACUGAAUCUCCGACGCUUGUUACGGAUCGGAGGAAGAAUAAUUUUCGCUGGUUCGGCGAGACGGAAAGGUUAAUUACUCCUUUGUGUUCCGUGGAAAUGUGUGCCACCGGGACGCUGCUUUAGGCGAGAAAGAAGCACAAAACAUUCGACGAUAGAAAAGGCGCUCCCACAACUUGAUAUGGACAUGGAAUAUCUAAAGUCCGAUCCGAAAGAUCUGCUUUCAAAAAGAGUAAUUAUCUUCAGAAAUGUCUUGAUUACAUACAAGGUGGAGGCGUCAAGCAAAGGCACUUUUCAGCGACAGAAGCACUACGCACCGUGGUAACAACAGAGCGAGAAUUCCACGCCAAGGAAACGAGCAAACCGACGAACAAUGCAAGUCCUCUGUUUUUUCUUUCGGCAAGAAGAUAACACGCCAUGAAUUCCGUUGGCCUGGAUAAGCUUGAGCCAACAUCAUUUUGCGUGUGUCUGAUCGAGACCGGCCGGGAUUUCACCUUGAACUUGAUAUCGAUCGAUUCAGGGAAAGGUAUCGAUGGAUCGAUAGGUACGUGCAUGCACGGCACUCCCAAUUAAGCUAGUCUCGACCAACAAACUUCCGUUACACGUCACUCCGUCACUGACACGUUCGCACCGUGCUAUAUGCCCACGUUCGUACCUGCCUGCAUGAAUCGGUUAGAAUGAGUCCUCGUGCUCUUCUCUCUUAUAAUCUUGCCUAUUCUUUGUUCUCGUCGCGUAUGAGCCAACGAUUGUGACUCUAUGGAUGUUUUCUGUUAUGUCUUUGCAAUAUGUACGUGGUAAGUUGAUUUUCCAGUCAUUGGAUAUGGUCUGUGCUUAAGGUUCCGGACGAACGAUGAAAAAAGAAAGGUGAGACGACUUUUCAUUUUUAGAUAAGACGACCGAGAUAUAGCCACACCUAUGGAUGUUUUCUGUUAUUGUCUUUGCAAUAUGCACGUGUAUAAGAUACAUUGGUAAGUUGAUUUUCCAGUCAUUGGAUAUGGUCUGUGCUUAAGGUUCCGGACGAACGAUGAAAAAAAAAAGAUGAGACGACUUUUCAUUUUUAGAUAAGACGACCGAGAUAUAGCCCAGUUGCAGCUCGUACACAAGAGUUCCAUAUUGUUUUGUCAUUCGGUGGACCGAAUAGGCCGAACCGAAAUCAACGGGAAUUGGUCUUUGAAUUUCCAUUUCAAAAGUUUGAUCAUCAUGUUCGAAACCCAAAAUUCCUGAACGCUGGAUAGACCUAACCGUGCGUGACGACCGAUUGCCCGUUCCAGGCCUAAUUUCCACAAAGACAUGGGAGAGACGGCGGGUCCGCUUAUAUACACACACACCACCAGUUGACGUGGUGAAGAAGCCUCCCACUGCUUUCAUUUUGUUCCAAAAUCGCGUCCUGCACCUUUUCUUUUCCUCUUGUUGCUCACACGAGUUGCCGCCCCUCGUUUUCCUUGAAUCCACGAGCCGCGCGUGACUAGAUCGCCGCCUCCUUUCAUUUACUUGCCUCUUUCCCGUGCUCAAAUCACAGCCCCUGAACAUCUCCUUUUCAAGAACUGGUCUUCUCUGCCUGCCUGCUUCAGAAAUUAGCAGGCUUUCCCGUUUGGAAUCAGGGGUGUGUUUUUGACCUUGUGGUCAUGAAGUUCGCCAAGAAGUACGAGACGUACAUGAAGGGGAUGGAGGAGGAGCUCCCCGGCGUGGGGCUCAAGCGGCUCAAGAAGAUGCUCAAGAAAUGCCGCGCCGAGCUCGGAUCACACCAGCAAUCCUCCUCUUCCUCUUCCGACGCCGGCGGUGUCCGGUGCCUCGGCCAUUGCUCAGGUAAAAGAAGCCAUGACCAUUUCCGGUUUCCUGUUCUUUUCUGGUUCUGGUGCUGUAAUUAGUUCGUGAAAUCCCUUGCCGGUCUGUUAUUAGUAGCUGGAGGAAUCUUUUGCCGGUGUCCUGUUCUUCUUCUUCCUGAAUUAAGACCCUGCCCCCCCCCCCCCCCCCCCCCCUAAUGGAUGGAUUCCUCCUUUAGCAAAAUGACAAACCUAGAAGAGAGAAGACUACAAUCGGGUCGUUGUCAAUGCCCAUAUUUUGGAUUCCACUUGUUGCUAGUUUGCUACAGCAUGUUACCAGCGUGACAAAUCAUGUGUUAUAUAUAAAAAGAGCUUGACAAAUUCUGCGUGGAACCUGCACGUUGCAGCUACAACAUGCCUUUUUUUAAGAUGUACAACAUACACAAGUAAUGCAUGAAGAAAUCAAGGCUGAACCAUCAAAGAAGUUGAAAUUACAGCCUUGCAUGUUCAACUAUCAGUUCAAACUGAAUACUGACCAUAGAAAUGGUUUCACGCACUAAAUUAUACCAGGCCGUUAGCCGUUUUGUUGAUCUAACAAAUCGCAAGUGUACAUAUUGCUGAGCCCAGAGUACUGACCGUGAUGACAUCUAUUGACAAAGUCGCUUUACAAAGUCUAUAAAUAAAAUAGCACAAUUGCACCAACCAGUGUAGAGUCAACUGUGCUGUGUUUCAUAGGUUUAGCAAGGAACUUACUGCGAUUGGUGCAUCUGUUCCAUUGACUCCAAUUUUCUACUCUAUAAUAAAUCUCUGGAGUUGCCUACCAUGGUUUUGAGACAAUUAUUUAUGUGAACGACUGCAAAGUGCCAACAGACAAAACAAAAGUUCAUGCAUGGUUCAGCUGGCAUUGUAGAUGUUUAAAUUACCUUUCAAGGUUGGUUAGCUGACAAGUUCCUAACAAUACGCAGUAUGUGAUGGGAGUUUCUUCCCGUCCCUUCUCAACGAGAUGUCAGCCGUCAUUGGCUGCUUCAACAAGAAGGCCAAGAAGCUUCUUGAAUUACAUUUGGCAUCAGGUUUCAAGAAAUAUGCCAUGUGGUUCACCAACAAGGGCCACAAGAGCCAUGGGCAAUUGAUACAGCAAGGCAAAGACUUGGUUACAUAUGCAAUUAUAAAUGCCGUAGCGAUGAGGAAAAUUCUAAAGAAGUAUGACAAGGUAUGGUCUUCACUCAAACGACCUGAGCUUUUUUAAGGAUUAUCAGAAACGACCCUGCCUUUUCCAACUGUGAAAAGCACUAAUAAUAUUUAAGUUCUCAAUACAAUAGUAACAAAAGGAAAGAACUACUGGAUGUUCCUGCAUCAGAGGGGAGAAGAGGAGAAGCAAGCGAAUUUCAUGCAUUUUAGACUUAAACAGGCAAAUUGGAGUUAAGUUCUAAAUGCCAAUGCAUAUUGGAAUCAUCAGAUAGUCCAGAAUAUAUGAUGUUCUGUUUCAACUACGUAAUCAUAUUUCUGGUAUCAAAUUCUUAGUUGUCUUUACAUUUCAGAAAUAACAAUUGUGAAUCAACAAGUAAUAAAAAAACAAUGAUCAAAAGCACCUACUUUGCAGAUACAUUACUCGAAGCAAGGGCAGGAGUUCAAAGCUCAAGCCCAGAGCCUGCACAUUGAGAUACUUCAGUCCCCAUGGCUAUGUGAGCUAAUGGCUUUCUACAUGAAUCUGAGAAGGAGCAAGAACAACGAGGUUGCGAUGGAGCUCUUUGGUGACUGUUCGCUCACAUUUGAUGAUGAUCAGCCAACGCUCUCAUGCAACCUCUUUGACUCUAUGCGCGUUGAUAUUAGCUUGAUGUGUUCAAUUUGCUUGGUGAGCUCGCACUUUCUACUCAGAGCACCACUAUACACUAGUUACAUUAUUUCGAUCUAUAGUGAGGAUAACUGUUCCUACGUUUGUUGUAAUGCAUUCGACAUACAAUUCGUUGCUAGUGCAUUGCCACAUUGCGAUUUGUCUUCUUUGUGAUGUCUGAAAAAUUCAUCUGUUUUUCUUUUGCAGGACACAAUGUUUGAUCCGGUCUCUCUUUCCUGCGGCCAUAUAUUUUGCUACUUGUGCUGCUGUUCUGCUGCAUCAGUGACGAUUGUUGACGGACUGAAGUCUGCAGAUCAAAAAUCAAAGUGCCCACUGUGCCGACAGGUAAAAAUAAUUUCAUCAGUUUGGGGACAGUUGUGUGUGUAUGUCCAGCUGACUGCCCUCAUUUUCCAUUUCAGGUUGGGGUCUUUCCUAAUGCUGCACACUUGGAUGAGCUGAACAUGCUGAUAAGCUAUAGGUAAGUCUACAUCCCAACAAAUCCUCUGUGAGCAACGAUAUGACAGGAAAGGUACAAUUUUCUUCUGUACCUUGUGAUUAGUUUAUCAGUGUUGUAUAUCAACAGCUGUCCAGAGUUUUGGGAGAAGAGAAUGCAGAUGGAGCGAGUUGAACGUGUUCGCCUAGCUAAGGAGCACUGGGAGUCACAAUGUAGAGCAUUCUUGGGCAUUUGAUGGAACGUGUAAUCUUGGUUAAAAAAAAGGAAUUUCUCAUUGUUGACUUGUUCUUGGUUAGAUCUUGCUUUGUUGGAUAUAUCCUGCUGAAAUGAAUCGGCCUGUAAAGCGGGUUCACUUUUGUGCACCUAGACGAAAAGGAGGCACAUGUGUCGUGAUUAAUGAGUGUAGAACUGCAAAAGUGACCUGGCCUAUUUGGCCAAUUUGGCUUUCUGAUGUUUUACCACAGAUUUGGGCCUGCCAUCCAGAGGCACCUACCUCUAAAUAUACAUGAUCUCCAUUGUUAUUCAGGCAAUAUCUUGCAUGUUUCCGCCAUUUUCUAUGAAUAAGUGUAAGUUGUUCUGUGCGCUCAGAGGAAUUCAAGAACCAGGGUCAAGUUACUCCAAAGAUUAGGAUCAAAUUCCUUUGUUGAGACUGUGACGACAGGUUGCAAUACCAGCCCAUUGAAUCUUCUGAAUGGCCUGAUUUUCUAUUCAUUUAUUUGUUGUUAAGUCACUAAACGGCUGAUACUACCUGAACAAACACCAAGCAUCAUGCUUUAGGGAUAACACAUCGAUGGGUGCUACUUUUUUUCUCUAUAGAACACCAUUAAUGGAUGCUGCAAUAACAAUCAAGAUAAACAUUGUAAUCAUGGAACCUCACUACCUACUUCACUUAUCUUACUGUCUUCCCUAAAUGUCACUUUUCUAUUCCCUCUGCUCUAUCAAAAUCAGAUCCUAGAUGAAUAUAACUAAAAGGUUUUACAAAACUCUGGUGGCAUGGUGAUUUACUCCGACAGUUCAUAAUCACCAGUUCACCACAACUCCAGUUGCUGACACCAGAGAAAUACUUCCUCACAUCUUUGCCAGUAGAAUGCAAGAAGAAUACCUGACUUUGGAAAAUGUCUGAAAUGUGUCGGUCAUAAAUGGCUCGUUGCUUAGUCAGCUCUUAAUCUCAGGAUCUCCUUUGCUGUCCGCUUCCUAAAAUAUUCCAUAUGUUUCUGCAAAGAGUAAUAGGUUUAAACAAAUCAAACUACAAAGUACAGGGUAAACGGAAAUGCCACUGUAUAUAGGUGUAUGAGAGAGAUUUGAGCUUGACUUUGCAAUUUUGCAUAAGCCUCGUUGGCAGGCCUGUUCUGGAAGUCCUUGACUUCAGAGAAACUCAGGAACCCCCAAAGAGACCCUAAUGAAGCAUAUUUACUAAGUUCAAAUUCACUAGAUGUCUAUUAUACUCACCUGACUAAAAGACAGUCCGAGACCUCUGCUGUGGAAAUCGAUGAACUUGAGCAUAAACAUACCGCAAUCCCAUCUAUUACAAGGGAAGUUCAGCAUCAAACAAAUCCAUGUUUGCUCAUUGUUAACGCUAAGUACAACAUACAUUUCAGGUAGUGAAAAAUGAGCGUUGAAAAUGCAGCAGUGCACUGAAUGAUGAUAACUAACACUUCAUAUGAGUUUUUUGCGGAAACCAAAAGCAAACUGUUACUGGCAGGGAAUAAGCAGUGGAAAGGAAGGUGUACCCAUUAUGUUGCAAAGGAAAAGGAACUGGUCUUUCCAGCCAAGAAUUGAUGUCUAUCUCUAUGUUACUCUUGUCCUUCAAUUCAUCCAUAAUAUAUCUAGCCUGAAGAAACACAAAAACAUAACUUUUAAUUUAACAAAAAAAAACAAAUAGAAAGAUGAAGACUUACGAUAGCUACCAAUGGAUAUAUUCUAACUUCCCAAAUAAUAAUGCCAAUUUGCUGCUUGGUAAGUUAAACAUGAAAAGAUCAUAGAUGAUAAAAACUAAAGGAUACCUCUGAAGAUCUAUAAUAUCAUAAAUGGAACACAUUUUCCUUAUCUAUAGCACAGAGAGCAAAUCAUGUGAAUCAUGCGCAUGCAUAAGUUGUAAAAUAACAGUCCUCCUUUUGCUACUAUGAGCUAGCUCUGCCACCCACAUGCAUAAAUCAAACCUUGAGCACCACAGUCCACAGGCCCACCACAGAAUGAUUUGAAACAGUUACUUCAAAUGUUAUGCAUAAUCAUUGGAUUGCUAAGGAACUAUUUUCUGACAAGUCACAAGAGAAGUAAUUGGAGGCUAUACCUCUUAGCUCUCUAAGUGUUUUACUGUAAGACAUCCGUUUAGCAGAUAGUAUUUUACUCAAGAUAUCAGUUGAGCCUAC
rnacentral:lncRNA from 1 species